CCUACGGGGGGCACCAGUGGGGAAUAUCGGACAAUGGGCGAAAGCCUGAUCCAGCAAUGCCGCGUGUGUGAAGAAGGUCUUCGGAUUGUAAAGCACUUUCGUCGGGGACGAUGAUGACGGUACCCGUAGAAGAAGCCCCGGCUAACUUCGUGCCAGCAGCCGCGGUAAUACGAAGGGGGCUAGCGUUGCUCGGAGUGACUGGGCGUAAAGGCGCGUAGGCGGUUUAUGCAGUCAGAUGUGGAAUCCCCGGGCUUAACCUGGGAACUGCAUUUGAGACGCAUAGACUAGAGGUCGAGAGAGGGUUGUGGAAUUCCCAGUGUAGAGGUGAAAUUCGUAGAUAUUGGGAAGAUCACCGGUGGCGAAGGCGGCAACCUGGCUCGAUACUGACGCUGAGGCGCGAAAGCGUGGGGAGCAAACAGGAUUAGAUACCCGUGUAGUC
rnacentral:rRNA from 1 species